rnacentral:lncRNA from 1 species
GACUAGAGCAUCUGCACCAGGUGUGAUGACAGCAUCCUCUGCAAGUUGUAAAAGUUGCACAGUGAUGGUCCCGAGGGAGGAGGCUCCUGGCUCUGGUUCAGGGCUGAAGUGUCUUCAUUUGCUUGACCUUUGUCUUAUGGUUACAAAUGGCGACUAGAACUUCAGGCAAGAGCUACACAUUCUCGGCCUCAAGAAGGAGAUGGCAGGAAAAGGACAAAAAGGGUUUUGUCAUUGGUUUUAGCCAAUGACUUCUUUUUAUAUCCUAUCCAAAAAGCUACUAGAAACAAACAAGAUUGCCUACAGUAUAAGAUAGGAUGCAUCUGGGUCCAAACAACAGAAGACUCAGUUGAAAGAAAAUUUUAAAAAAUGAGGAAAAUUCGGGGCUGGCCCUGUGGCCGAGUGGUUAAGUUCGCGCGCUCCGCUGCAGGCGGCCCAGUGUUUCGUUAGUUGGAAUCCUGGGCGCGGACAUGGCACUGCUCGUCAGACCACGCUGAGGCAGCGUCCCACAUACCACAACUAGAAGAACCCACAACGAAGAAUACACAACUAUGUACCGGGGGGCUUUGGGGAGAAAAAGGAAAAAAU